AUAUUCCCAAUUAUAGAUAUGUGUAUGAAUUAAAUUAAUCCUGAUCCAUGAUCAUGUUUUGAGGGUAACCAAUACUAUGCGAGCUAUGAAGUUGGGUAAGUUGCUUCAUAGUUUCUCGCUGCUGGCUGCCCUCCCUCCCCUGUAGAUGCUUUCAUGUAGCUCAUGAAAGCUGGGGAGGGUUUCCUAGUAUGGUUGUUCUGGGGGACUUUUAAUGUAUUUGUCACUGCUCCCCCUGCCUCGGCUUUAAUGUAGCACAUGAAAGCCGAAAGGUUGUCUGGUAUGGCUGUUUUGGGGGAUUUUAAUUUUCCUUAAUUUUAUUUAUUUGCUGCUGCUUUUUCUGCCUUGGCUUUUCAUAUAUGCACAUAAAAGGGAGGGGAGGGCAUUCCCUCUCAUAGCCGUGGCAUUCCAUGCAAGCACAUAAAAGAGCAGGGAACUCUCAGAACAGAGCCAUACCGCCAAUGUAAAAAUGUUUGCUCAUAAUAAUUAAUUUUGACUAAAGUAGUCCUGACUGAAAUGAAGCAUACUCGUAGUUCAGGUAGGACACAUAGGUUACAGUAAAGCUAAAGGUUACAGUCAGCUGAUCUUAAGCCAGCCUUCAGUCAGAUGACAGCUCAGCUGAUCGCCCUCCACACAUCCUAUUGGCAAAUGUCAAAAUGGCGCCCUAAUUAAACUGCUUCUCCUACCUACUCUGCCUGGCAUGGUCGUUUUGGGGUGGUUCUGUUCAUCACUGCUCUACCUCCCAUUGUUUAUGAUGCCUCAUGAAGGGCGGGAAGGUGCUCUUCCUGCCAAUGGCCUUUCACACAUGCUUGUGUGGAGAACGGGGGGCCCCAAACAGAACCUUGCGUGCGCUCCCUGCUAUGGCCUUUUCAUGAUGGCUCGUGAAGGGCAGGAAGAGGCUCUUCCUGCCUCUGGCUUCCAUGCAACAGAACUAUCCCGCCAAAUUUAACUUUGCAAAAUAAAGCUGAAUUUUGACAAAGUGAUCCUGACUGAAUUGUGGUACAUCAUAUCUGUGACAUCAAACUUGGAGGGAUUGCAGGUUAGAUGUUGUAGAGCAGAUCCAAUGAAUAAAAUGCCUACUCACAUUGGGUUUACUUUUACUUUUGACUAUAAAAUUACUUCUUUUUCUAGGCGGAGAUAAAAUUUUUGAUUUGUAAUUUGUCUGAUACCAUUCUAGCAUUAUAAAGGCCACCGCCAAUCUUUCACUUGAUUUAGAUUCAACAAGAUUGUUGGAGGCCCUAGGCCCUAGGCCAUACAGUUGAUGAGCUAUUACUGAUUUACUUUGGGUAUGUCAUUUCAGGUGGAAAUAACCCCUAAAUAGCACAGGGUGCAUGUGGUUAAGGGACUGCACGAUAGGAAAGCCAUCAAGAACAUCAUGGAUGCUGCAGAGAAGAGGUCAAGAUGGCUUUGGAUCAAACACGGCACUCCAUGGACACAAGCUGGGGCUUGAUUAACCCUGGCUGGGUCAUCUGGACGAGGGUGUCUGACUGUUGAAAGACCUGGAACACCCAAUGACCUUGGUUUACAUCACUGAUGAUGUGUCUAAGCUGCAUGUACAGGUGUAUGUAAAAACACGGUGUGUGAUUGGGAGCCAGUAGAGCUGCUGGAGGAUUGGUGUGAUGUGGUGACUGAAUGGGGUCCUUUUGAUAAUAUGGACUUCUGAAUUCUGUACCAGAGUUUUUUGCAGAAGUCCAAACAGGAGGGAGUUGCAGUAGUCGACUCGGGUGAUGCGUUCAGCACAAUGGAUGACUCGAUGCAGAGACCAGUACCAGGCAGUGAUGCUCGCAGAAAGCACAGACCCCACUGUGGCGGUGUAGAAAGUUUGCCAAUUUGUUCACAAUGCUUUUUUUAAAAUCCAGCGUGAGUUUUAUGUAUUUUGAGAUGUAUUUACUCCAUGAUCAGAUGUUGCUUUCAUGGAAAUACACCAUUUUACUCCACUUACCUUUAGAUAUACAUUGAUGUUUCCAGACCAUUGCUUAAUAUAUGUCAGCAAAAGAUAAUAAGGGCUUAGUUUCAGAGUCGAAAACAUUUGCAAGAGUCACAACUUAAGUGCAAAAGCAAAAAAAAAAACAUCAUAGUUGGAUUAUUCAUGUCAACUUUUUGGCUUUUGAGAGUCUGCAUACAAAAAUCCUAAUAAAUCUCAACUGCGUUCAAACUACCCCAAAAAUGGCUAGAAAGAAGCAACUGAGUAAAGAAACAAAAGUGCAAAAUUGUACAUUGAGGAAAGAAGGGUACACAGAAAAAGAAACUGCAAAACACCUAAAGGUGUUUAACAAAGGAGUCCACUACACUCUGAAGAGACUAGAGGAACCUGGAAGUUAUGAUGAUAGAAAAAGACCUGGAUGAAAGAGAGUUACUACAAAAGGGGAGGAUAAACAUAUCAUUGUCACCAGUAAGAGAGAUCAGCAAAGACAGCACCACAAAUAAGGGAGGAAAUCAACAUUACAAGGUCGCAACCCGUAUCUCUGACAACCGUGAAAUGACGUUUGAGAAAGGCUGGUCUGAAGGGUUGUGUAUCUGCAAAAAAACACUACUUUGUCCACAGAACAAGAAAUAUAGAGACAUGAGUACCACCAUGUGGUACACCCACAAUUCAGCAUGGAGGUGGUAGUUCCAUGGUAUGGGGAUGACUGACAGCUUGGUUACACUGUGUGGUUUCCUGCAGAGUCGGGGCUUUGAAAGGGGGAGUGACAGAGCACUGUUACCAUGGAGAUGGAGGACUGUUUCCUGUCUGCUGCUGCUCGUAAAAAGGUGUUAAUGUGACCACACUCUGCUCUCAUCCAACUAAUGAACAGACCUAAAAUAAAUACAGGUACACUGGAACCUUUUAUUACUGUGAAAACAAACACAGAAUUCAUAAUGUCAGACAUUGAUUCAGUUUUCUUUGCUUCAUCUCUCUGCCAGAGUUACUUGAUGAUGACCUGAGUGAAAUAGUUAAAGAUGAAACUCAGUCACACUGAAGGUUUUGUGAACUUUCUCUCCAUCUCAUUUUUGUGUUGAAGAUUUUUGUCUCACUAAUAAAAUUAAUGAUAAAAUGUUAUAUCACACACACACACACACACACACACACACACACACACACACACACACACACACACACACACACACACACACACACACACACACACACACAAACACUAUCAACCCUAAAACCUCCAAAUAUUUUAUUUCACUCAAUUUAUUUAAAUUAAAAAAGCAUUUGGGACACACAUUUAUUUUUACAAAUGAAGUAUAAUAUUUUCUACAGGUCUAAAUAUUUUGGUCCAGUCAGAUCAUUUUCUUUCAGUCAUUUAAUUUUAAGUCUUGAAAUAUUCUUUUAACGUUUUAAUAUAAAAUUAUUUCUAUUGAUUCAAUCAUUCUGAAGUUGUAGAUUUUUGGCUGUGUCAUUGCUGCCAAGCAGAGGCAUGUUUGGAUGUAAACUUUCAAACUGAGUCUAGAUGUGAGCCUUCAGUGUUUUUAUUACCUGAAGGACAAUCAGAGGUGUCCGUCUGAAGUAGACCGGUAAAAACACCUGACAGCAGGCAUAGAGUAAGAAAGUGUGAACAGUCUGUAUAGUGACUAGGAACGAAAACAAAGUCACUGAGAGGCUAAGUGAGGGAGCUUCCGCAUUGGUGACUCGCUACACAAACCACAAGCCAUUUCCGUGUUUUCCGAUUGAGUUCACAUUUAUUUCCAACGCCGCACAAACAGACAGACAGGGCAAGGCAAGGCAAGAUGAUCUAUGGGCUUAGUUUGACGUUUAAAUCAAGCGGUCAACAAAAAAUACGCUCUCCCUACUCACCCCCUCUCCAUGCAGCCGCCGCAGCACCCAGGUGACUAUAUGUCCAUUCAUUCAAUCAUUCAAUCAUCGCGCCUUGACCACACCCCCUCGUGACGUGCAUGAAAGGUGCAGCCCAGACAGUUGAUGUCAACACACACAAACCUAACCACUUCUGCAUAUGGCACCUACAACCCAGCCCCUAAUUAUUACCAUUAUAAUAAUUACACUAUGACAAAUAAACGAACCACGAAAUCCACCAAUGUUCUUGUAAUAGUCCAUCAAUACAGUUCAUCAAUGUGCUCUUCUUCCUGGAACACAAGUCAAGUCUAGCCAAG
rnacentral:lncRNA from 1 species